rnacentral:rRNA from 1 species
CCCUGCCCUUUGUACACACUGCAGGUCACUACUCCUGAUUGGAUAGUUUAGUGAGGCCCUCGGAUCAGCCCCGCUGGGUCAGCCUACUGCCCUGGCGGAACACUGAGAAGACAGUCGAACUUGACUAUCUAGAGGAAGUAAAAGUCGUAA